AAUUCACGCGCACCUCGCCCAGCAAUUAAUCCUAUUUUUGCAAACGGCCGCCAAAUAUUUGAGAGAGCAGAUUGCGCGUGUUGUCGAUCGCUUCAUCGAAAGGGACUUUGAAUUCUUGUUUACACAAAAGCUCGUUGAUGAGCGUCGAGUGUCCCGAAGGAAGUUCUUCGCUCGGAAAAUAGGAACAAGUAUCGUAUUCUCAGAACUCGAGAGCUCCUUUCCGACUACGGCGUCGGGAUUAUCUCGACUAUAGAUGACACCGAUCGCUGGGGGGUCCAGGUAGGAGAUAAGCGGACAUCUUCGAGAGCUGCCGUCGCGUAUCGAUCCGAAUCCCGAUUCAAUUUUCUACACCCCCGACGUAGCGCAACGGCGAAACGGCAUGCAUUAAACAUCGUGCAUCACGCAUGCCGGCGCACUGAUCCAUCGUCGCGACGUCGGGGAUAAAUGCGUCAGCCAGGACACACGACAUCAGGGGUGGCUACGACACUAUGACGUUAUCGAGAUAUCUAUGAGAUAUCGGUGAUUAUCUUCCGCUUAUCACUCGGCUUCGGUAUCAGUGUCGUACGAUGUUAUUGAGGGACUGGUAUUUAAAAGAAAUGAAAUAAACAGAAAAUAAUGCAUUUAACACUCUCAUGAAUUUUCAAGUAAGAAAUAUUUUUAUUUGUUCAAUUUUUGUAAAAUAACAUCAUUGAAAUAUCAAAUCAGGAACGCUCACAUAAUAAGUUUCUUUUAACUUACAAUUUUAUUUUAAAUGAAAUUUAAUAAUCCUUUUGCUUAAUUAUUAAGCUUGAGUUAUUCCAAUUAAUUUUAAUCAAAUAGGGGAAAAAGACGUGUGAAAAUUCCUCCAAAUAGGAUUCAUCACAUAGAAUUUCUAAUUGAUUAUUUUAAUUUAAAUUAUUUUUACAAAUACCUCGCACAAAUUUAGAGAUCAGUGACGAUUCUUGAUCGUUUCUGCAGCCGGGUCGCGUUACUCCGAACACAUUUUAGUAGGCGCCUGUUCACGCAUACACGCGCAUCGUUUUCUAUCCGAGAGGCGCGGCGGUCUGCUCUAUUAUUACACGAAAUUGCCUGGGAAAACUUUCAUUAACUUGUCCGAUGCCUAAUUCAUGAGAGACGGACCGACGCGAUACCGUAUAAUCCGCGCCUGAGGCCUCGCGGGCGGGCGGCGAGGGGGCGAGUCGAAGGGGGAUGAAGGGGAGAGGGACGGGACAAUCGGUGAAAUGAUUUCGGAGGUACGAAAUGAAAUAAAGAUGAUCUCGCGUUCGGCUGCGGAUGCGAAAGCAUUGGAAUUGAAAAUCCGAUCGAUGAGUGAAAUCGCUCGUUUUCAUCCCGAUAUAUUCUGCGAAUCGCGUUAACGUAUCAAACUCUUUCACAUUUCACACGUGGAAAUUGUCAUUUUUAUUUUUUUUCAGCAUUUAUAAUACUUACUGAUUCGUGUGUGUGAGAUUGGUUGUCUGUUUUUUUUUCAUUCAGGUCCGAAAUUGCAUUUUGAAAAUCUAUUUAAACCAAUUCAUUAUGCACCUUGUAGGAUAAAUUAUACAAAUUUGUGCAUUUGUAAAUUUUAAAGGAAUGCUUUGUCUUAAUGUUACUUUUUUAUUUUACAAAAACAACUAUUAUUUUUAUUUCUUUCUUUAAAAUUACUUUAACAUUAUGCCGAUAAAAUCUUUAAUGAAUAAAAUAUAAAUUCUUGGAAUCAUUAAUUAUUAUUUGUUUUUUUAAUUUUUUACAUAAACAUAAGGCACAUUAUUCUGAUUGGUUUUAUUUACUUCCUUGUAAUCUAUGAGAAAGAGAUUUGUUAUAAGAAUUAUCAACGACAGAAAAUAAUAAAUCUUUCACGAGUUUUUUGACGUUAAAACUUUUUAUCGCUUAAUUAUAUUACGAUUAUAAAUACAGAUAACGAAACCAUUCAUCGAUUAAAUUGAAUUCAAACCGGUUUUAACAACAACGUCUUAGAAACUAGAGAGACUCAAGAGAGUGAAGCGGAUUUACCCGAAGUCACCAUUUUCAACACAUCUUUUAGUAAUGGGCGGGAUCUUUAACUUCUUUUCAGAUUUCAAAUACUGAUUACAUUAUCUUAUAAUAUAUUAAUUUUCUUUUUUGUAUAUAUGAAUACUAGAGAGAUAUUCUAAAAUGUUACAUUAUUCACUAUUAUUUAUAUUAAUAUUAGAAAGAUUUUUGCAAUUCGACAACAUUGCACUGUGUGUAUAUAUAUAUAUAUAAUACAUAUGCAUAUUGAGGAAGUGUGCUGAAAAUGGCGGAACCAAUCAAAGUAAGGAACACCAUUCUCUCUUGAGUCCCUCUAGAAACAUCUCUUUCCCGCCACCUAUUCAACGUGACUUCAACCAACUCAACGUUUUUGCUUGGAUCUACCUGAAACAAGACUUUAAUACCUGCCGCAUUUCCUUACGUAUCGACGUCGGGACAAUCGGCAUGGACUUUCCAUGGCAAAAGAACACAGUCCGCAACCUGUGCGACGGCAGAGCGCGAUUUUAUCGGCACCCUGUGCAUCAAGGUGGUCUUCAUCGUGGAUAGAAACGCGAGUAUCGAUCCUCAGUCAAUUAUCGCGAAAUAACGGUCAUUAGCGAAUUACUUAAGCUCUUUCACUCUUUCCUCUUUCGCUCUUUCCUCUCGCAAUUCCUCCUCUUCGUCUCUUCGCGCAACUUUCUUUCUCUCUACGUCCCUCGCUCGUCAGAAGCGCAUCGGCCUCUCGCAAUUUCGUCCUCUCCCGCGUUAUCUGCGUGUACCGUCGGAUAUAAUGUACAGGCCUCAUUACAACGAGGGUGAGAGCGAGGGGGUGAAGGUCCGCGCGGGCCCCGCGGGCGUGCACGGUCGCUCGCGUGCGCGUGAGCUUGCACGAGAGAUAAUUCCCUCCUCCCUCCUUCAUUCUCGCUCUUUCCUCCCUCUCGACCUCCUCUCAGAAGUCAUAAUGUACAAGGGUCCCGAGAUUGGGGAGAGAGAGAAUGUAUAUUUAGCACGCUACUUUGUUGCCGGUCGCGCGAUGCGCCGGGAGCUCGUUCGCGGAAGAGCUGUGCGCGUCCGCGAGAAGGCGGCGAGGACCGCGCAGAGGAGGAAGGAUUCCUCGCGAGGAAUUAGGGCCCUGCGUGCCGCGAUCGCGUGCGCGGGAACAGUAGCCAGGGUUUCUCUCCGUGGUGACCUUACGUGACUCGAUGUAGUAGAUACACCGAGCUGCUUCACGGUGGCGUAUCGCAGUCGCCGCCUCUUCCCGAAGAACGGAACCCGCAAAUCUCCCUUCUUAAGCUCAUAUUAUUUUACGCGACUUAUGAGACCUAAAUGACGACCGCGUUGCGAUCAGAGGUCGGGAAAAUAGCUUCAAU
rnacentral:lncRNA from 1 species